rnacentral:rRNA from 1 species
GGCUCAGGAUGAACGCUAGCUACAGGCUUAACACAUGCAAGUCGAGGGGAAACGACAUCGAAAGCUUGCUUUUGAUGGGCGUCGACCGGCGCACGGGUGAGUAACGCGUAUCCAACCUGCCCACCACUUGGGAAUAACCUUGCGAAAGUAAGACUAAUGCCCAAUGACAUUUAUAGAAGGCAUCUGAAAUGAAUUAAAGAUUUAUCGGUGAUGGAUGGGGAUGCGUCUGAUUAGCUUGUUGGCGGGGUAACGGCCCACCAAGGCGACGAUCAGUAGGGGUUCUGAGAGGAAGGUCCCCCACACUGGAACUGAGACACGGUCCAGACUCCUACGGGAGGCAGCAGUGAGGAAUAUUGGUCAAUGGGCGCAAGCCUGAACCAGCCAAGUAGCGUGCAGGAUGACGGCCCUAUGGGUUGUAAACUGCUUUUAUGCGGGGAUAAAGUGGGCCACGUGUGGCCCUUUACAGGUACCGCAUGAAUAAGGACCGGCUAAUUCCGUG